GCAGCUACACUGCAAGUUCGAGACCAGGGUGGGUUGGGACGAGACAGCGAGGCUGCAGAGCGUAUCUAAGUAUUUAAGCCUCGUAGGAGGAAUUCCUCUCUAUCACAGUAGUUACAUCGGCAGCUACGGUGGAAGCAUAGAGCCUCAUCCCCAACCCGGUCUAAGCCUCCACUGUCACGCAUCACUAACUGACUAAUAAACCUUACUCCUUGGCCAAGUCUGCAUCCUGCCAGUACCAGCUUCCCCACAUGAAAGAGAAGCAAGAGACAGCACUUUGGGACCCUGGGGGAACAGCCUACGUCUGCUGCUGCACAUCAACCGUUGAGCUCUGAGAGGGGCUGCCAGACAAUGGGAAAUGAAACAUUUGAGUGGUUUGGGAAAUAUUAGCAAGUGGCCCAGCGGAGAGGAACAGAGACGAGCUGACCCCUGGAGGUGGCUGGCCGGCCAGCCUCAAUGAAACCUCAAACUCAGAUUCAAUGAGAGACUGAGUUUCUAAACACAAGAACUCGCAUAAAGCAGAAUGCAGCUUCACACAUCUGUAACCCCAGCCUGCUCUGAAGUGAGAGGAGAGAAUUCCCAGAGUCAGCUGAGCUGGACUACACAGCGGCAAGCAAGAGACUCCAUCUACCUCACACAAGACGGGAGGCAAGGACUGACCCCCAAGGUUAUCCUGACUUCUACUCAGGCACCUGUACUCACAUGAACAUGCACAGGAACACACAGUCACAUGCAUAUGUACAUACCACACACACACACACACACACCUCACCCACACGCAGUUGCAGAAUCCCACCCUAUUCUAAAAUAAAUUACAAUUUCGUGUUGGAAACACAUAUGCAGCUCUGCGGCCUGCAGGUCACAGGUUGGACACACUCUGAAGGGCACGGUCAAUCCCUAGAC
rnacentral:lncRNA from 1 species